rnacentral:rRNA from 1 species
CAAAAACAUGUCUUUUUGAGUUAUUUUUAAAGUCUGACCUGCCCACUGAAAUUAUUUAAAUGGCCGCAGUAUUUUAACUGUGCAAAGGUAGCAUAAUCAUUAGUCUUUUAAUUGAAGGCUGGUAUGAACGGUUGGACGAGGUAUAAGCUGUUUCAUAUAAAUUUAUAAUAGAAUUUUAUAUUUUAGUCAAAAAGCUAAAAUAUAUUUAAAAGACGAGAAGACCCUAUAAAUCUUUAUAUUUUGUGUUGUUUAAAUUUUUUGGGAUUGGUUUAUUUUUAUAAUAUAAAAUAUUUUGUUGGGGUGAUAUUAAAAUUUAAUUAACUUUUAAUUAUUUAAAAUCAUUAAUUUAUGAGUUAUUGAUCCAUUAAUAGUGAUUAUAAGAUUAAGUUACUUUAGGGAUAACAGCGUAAUUUUUUUGGAGAGUUCAUAUCGAUAAAAAAGUUUGCGACCUCGAUGUUGGAUUAAGAUAUAAUUUUAGGUGUAGUCGCUUAAA